UACGGAGGAUGCGAGCGUUAUCCGGAUUUAUUGGGUUUAAAGGGUGCGUAGGCGGUAUUUUAAGUUAGUGGUAAAACGUCGGGGCUUCACCUUGAUUGGCCAUUAAAACUGGAGUACUAGAGUACAGACGAGGUAGGCGGAAUAAGUUAAGUAGCGGUGAAAUGCUUAGAUAUAACUUAGAACCCCGAUAGCGAAGGCAGCUUACCAGACUGUUACUGACGCUGAAGCACGAGAGCGUGGGUAGCGAACAGG
rnacentral:rRNA from 1 species